GGGGAAUAUUGGACAAUGGGCGCAAGCCUGAUCCAGCCAUACCGCGUGGGUGAAGAAGGCCUUCGGGUUGUAAAGCCCUUUUGUUGGGAAAGAAAUCCUGCAGGCUAAUACCUUGCGGGGAUGACGGUACCCAAAGAAUAAGCACCGGCUAACUUCGUGCCAGCAGCCGCGGUAAUACGAAGGGUGCAAGCGUUACUCGGAAUUACUGGGCGUAAAGCGUGCGUAGGUGGUGGUUUAAGUCCGUUGUGAAAGCCCUGGGCUCAACCUGGGAAUUGCAGUGGAUACUGGGCCACUAGAGUGUGGUAGAGGGUAGCGGAAUUUCCGGUGUAGCAGUGAAAUGCGUAGAGAUCGGAAGGAACAUCCGUGGCGAAGGCGGCUACCUGGGCCAACACUGACACUGAGGCACGAAAGCGUGGGGAGCAAAC
rnacentral:rRNA from 1 species